UCACCAAAUUAUUUCCGUAGCAAAUAUUCAGGAUGCUACAUCAACCGAGUUUUUGAAAGCCCAACAUAAUCAUAUUGGGGUGAUUUUAGACGGAGAUUGCAAUGUUGGGAUUACCAGCGAUUUUUUGAAACAGUGUGGGUCCAAUAGACUCUUCUCCGUCAAACAUCACUGGUUAAUAAUGACCUCAAAUGAAACUUUCUUCGAGAUUUUUAAAAACGUCGAACUUUAUAUUAAUGCCGAUAUUCACGUCGCUCAUUCCUCAAAGGCAAAUAACUCCUACCCCAUAGAAGAUGUAUUCAACCCUGCCUAUGGAAAAGGUGGAGAGUUGAAAAGGCGAAUUAUUGGUUAUUACAGUCGGGAAAGUGGGUAUUCAGCAAGACAAAAGGAAAGAAAAUACUGGUUGAGGAGAAACAUGACCGGAGUAACUUUGAAAUCACGUAUUGUCUUGCCUGUCCCCUUCAAAGGAACAUUAAUGGAGUAUUUGAAUAGUGAAAUCCACAGAGAAGUAAACACUUUCAACAGGUUUCAUUAUAGCCUGAUGUCUCCAUGUGUGAACUAUUA